rnacentral:rRNA from 1 species
CACGUAGGGGGCGAGCGUUGUCCGGAUUCAUUGGGCGUAAAGCGCGCGCAGGCGGCUCGGAAAGUCGGGUGUGAAAUCUCGGGGCUUAACUCCGAAACUGCAUUCGAUACUGCGGUGCUUGAGGACUGGAGAGGAGACUGGAAUUCAUGGUGUAGCAGUGAAAUGCGUAGAGAUCAUGAGGAAGACCAGUGGCGAAGGCGGGUCUCUGGACAGUUCCUGACACUGAGACACGAAGGCCAGGGGAGCAAACGGG